AAUCCUGAGUCAAUCAUUCAUUCCCUCAUUCAUCCCAACACCCAUUAGACAUCAAGAAAACACUAAAUCUGAUCCACAGCGCUGGUUAGACGAGUAUGGAUUCCUGUUUGCUAAGGUUUGCAACAGAAGGGAAAAAGGUUUUAAAGGUACAGAAUUAAGUUUAGAGAAAUAUUCAUGGAAA